rnacentral:misc_RNA from 1 species
GAUGAAGAACGCAGUGAAAUGCGAUAAGUAGUGUGAAUUGCAGAAUUCAGUGAAUCAUCGAAUCUUUGAACGCACAUUGCGCCCUGUGGUAUUCCGCAGGGCAUGCCUGUUCGAGCGUCAUUGACACCCUCAAGCUCUGCUUGGUCUUGGGCGUUUGUGCCUGCCGUUGCGCAGGGACUCGCCUCAAACUCAUUGGCAGCCUGCCUUUGCCGGUCUUUGCACAGCACAGUCGUGCCAAAGCCGCGGUGAGCAGGCGCUCCACAAGCCCUUUUCAGCUUGACCUCGGAUCAGGUAGGAAUACCCGCUGAACUUAAGCAUAUCAAUAAGCGGAGGA